rnacentral:lncRNA from 1 species
CGAAUUGGGGUUCUUUUCGUGGUGCACGCGGUUUUGGGUGAAUGUCGAGUCGGGUCGUUUGCCUGUUUUGGCCUUUAAAUAGAUUUUCAAUUAGCGUAGGCGCGUUUGAUUAACCGACCAUUACUAGGAGAUUUCACUUAUUACUUACCAAUAUUAAUAUCAUUAAGCCUUAAAUAUUUUAAUUUUAAUUAAUUUCUUUAACAACUCAUUUUCUUAAAAAACAAUUUAGACAUAAAAUAUAUUUUUUAAAUAUUUAUUUUCGAAGUAAAAAUAUUUAUUUUAUAAUUAAUUAAAAAUUUAACUAUUUGACUAUAUUUAUCUUUAAGUAAAUUAAAAAAAAAAUCAAAUUGUACAAUUUAUUAAUAAUUUUUUUUUUUCAAAAUUUUACCAUAAUUAAUGAUUAAUUGAGAUUCAUUUAUAAGUUUCGGAUACUUCCAUUAUUAAAUCGAAUUGUGCAAGUUCUAGCAACAAUAGUUUCAGUGAUUUUUAUUUUUAUUAUGUAUAAAAAAUGUAAAACUAAUAUUAAAUUAAUUUAAGAUCAGCCCAAUAAAUAAAAACUUAUUCAUAUUUAACAUAAACGUAGUCCAAAUUGACAGCCCAUUAUCUGGAGUCAUACAUUUAAAAUCCAACCUUAAAGCCCAGUCCAUUUCGUUCCAUUUGGGCCACCAUGGUUUCCGAUGGUUCCUACUCUGGUCUCAAACGACACCGUUUUUCAAUUAAUACAGUGAGUUGCCAUGGAGAUUCGAGAACGAAGAGGGGCAAUUGACGCUGUUUUGCCAAUUACCAAUUUACAAAUCGUUCUGUGCAUUCGUAACCAGUUAAUAAUGAAUUAGAAAAAGAACAGUUAAUAAUAAAUAAAUAUAUAAAAUAAUAAUAAUUUCUUUUUUAAAGAAAAACAUCAAUCUACUGCUGGCAGGGGAAUGAUGUCUUCCUGUUUGAUUUUUUGGUCUGCAGAAGGAAAAGAAAGUAAUAAAAGACAUCUUCUGCGGGACCCACUUUCCCACUAAAAGAUCGGUUCACAGCCUACGCGCCAGAAACUCAACUUAUUACAGAGCGAGAGAGAGAACACAGAUACUUCUCUGCAUCUGAUUAUACACAACCAUAGCCAGCCUCGCCUCCUCCUCUCCUUUCUCCCGUCUGAUUAUGGAUUAGACUUCGCAACCGGAAGCCUCUUUCCUCUCACCACUCUAACCAUACCUAGUCCGACCAUACGGCUACUGCUCGCCGGCUUAAGUCCCGAGAUUGGGGCGAUCUAGGGUCCCGAGCUGCUAGNNNNN